AGGAUGAACGCUGGCGGCGUGCUUAACACAUGCAAGUCGAACGAUGAUGCCAGCUUGCUGGUGGAUUAGUGGCGAACGGGUGAGUAACACGUGAGUAACCUGCCCUUAACUCUGGGAUAAGCCUGGGAAACUGGGUCUAAUACCGGAUAUGACUCCUCAUCGCAUGGUGGGGGGUGAAAGCUUUUUGUGGUUUUGGAUGGACUCGCGGCCUGUCAGCUUGUUGGUGAGGUAAUGGCUCACCAAGGCGACGACGGGUAGCCGGCCUGAGAGGGUGACCGGCACACUGGGACUGAGACACGGCCCAGACUCCUACGGGAGCAGCAGUGGGAAUAUGCACAAUGGGCGCAAGGCCUGAUGCAGCGACGCGCGUGAGGAUGACGCUCGGUGUAACUCUUCAGUAGGAAGAAGACGAAAGUGACGGUACCUGACAGAAGAAGCGCCGGCUAACUACGUGCCAGACGACGCCGC
rnacentral:rRNA from 1 species